rnacentral:lncRNA from 1 species
AAAGAUGUUUUGGUUUUAAGCCYAUUGCAGUGUUAAGUACGCUUACCUUCUGGUUUGUUUUUUUUAGUUAAAAUAGUUCCUUCCAGGAGUGAAUUGGGAAGGAAGGCAAAUCAGAUUAUUGCUAUGAUAACAGUUGAUGUGCCAAGACGCCUCAAGGUUUCAAGCUAGGGCAACAACUGAGUAAAUUGUAAUCCUACUUUUUGGAUCUUAAACUGAAACUUAUUGUAGACUUACUACGAGUUUUGGGUUAUGGCAGACGUGUGCUAGCUACUGGAAGAGAGAGAAGAGGGAUUCUGUGAUCUGGAAAUGACGGUACUUCAAAAGCCUCACUUACAGGCUGCAUUGAGAUGUGCGAUUCUUCAGCAUCCUGUGUCUGUGGCGACCUUUGGAGAUAUGCAUCAUUGCCAUUUGAUGCUCCCUGUGGCACAUCUGGAGGAACUGAGCCAGAGUUUCUGGACCCRAUGCAAAGAUACCAAAGAGCUGAAUGGCAGCAAAAACAUGUGUUCAGAGAACGAGCUUCUUCAGAGCUCCUCUUAAAUACUUCAAAUUAUGUGUGGAAAACAGCUCUCCAGGAAACCUGCUGUAUUAAACAUCAUAGAAAGUGGGAGCAGGAAGACAAAGCAGCCCUGUGGAAAGAUGUUUCAGCAAAGGUUGUUUCUGAACACACUGUGCCUGUCCAACACUGGUGUUGCUCGUUGAAAGACCAGAGCAAUAAUUACAGCUUGUGUCCCUCUUCUACACUGCUCGGAUCGCUUCACUGUUCUUUGCUUCUGCAUCUGUAAAAUGGAUGUAGUUGAGCACUCACCUCUCUGUUUAAAGCCCUCUAAGAUCUAAUGAUAAGUAAAAUACAACAAUUGGGUGUGUGUUUUUGUGAGGAAAGGGUUUAAUGAAGUGCUAAUAUUGCAAAAUAGGUGUUGGAUUCUCAACUGAGAAGCCUAAUUAUUGUCCAGGAUGGGCAGCUGACCAAAGGGGCUUUAAAAGCACGGGCUUGUUCUUUCUGCGAUGCUUAUCAGCCUACCCCUGUGCCUGCCUGAUUCUUUGCACAAGGACUGAAAACAGAAAUGCUCUUUGACAGCUUAAAUAACCAAAUUUAGAAUGUGGCUUCCUGUUCUGACUGGUUCUUCAGGAUUCGAGUAUAGUUUUGCAUGACUUCUCUGUUCUUGCCUUCUCCCCCCCUUUUCUUUAAAACCAGAUAUGGGCUCCUUUCUAAUUACUUUGUUAAUUUUCCUUUAUUGGGUGUAAUAAAGCUGGUGUAUGUAACUGCUGCCUUGGUGGG